rfam:Lasius niger Lnig_2.1_13010, whole genome shotgun sequence.
CAAUCGGCCCUUUUCAGAGCCACACAAAAUAAUUCCAAAGACAAUU